GAUUCUUCUUUCCUGAUCUAAACGUCGGUAAGGAAGAGCAUGCGACACAAAUGGAUUACCCAACGAGCAAAACGGCAAUUCAAACGAAAAAGUUAACAAAUUUCUAAAUUAAAAUAGAAAUACAAGAAGAACCAAGUAAGAAACAUUGAUACGAUGCAGAUAUAGACUCGACCUCGAAAGAUUGGAAUUAUCAAUUUAUGCGAGAUUAAGAGGAAGGAAACCGCUUUAUCACUCGUUCGUAAUUCGAUUAGAAUUUCCAUAAAUAAAUCAAAAUGUUAAAAACUCUGCAGAACGACAUGUUUAUAUUAUUCUAUAUCAAGCGUAUAUCUCAAUUAUGAACUGUGAUCAAAUUAAUCAUUUAUAAAGAUAAAUCAUUCGCGUCAGUAGAACAUUGGAAUCUGACUUAACAUAUAGAGAUAAAUAAUCUGCACAAGGUAAAACACCUUUCACGUGAAUUCCAAUCUCCUGUAUACAACAAUUUGUAAAAUAUAUAUUUACGUACAAAUUACGAACUAGAAUACGUUUUGUAAUUUACUUAUAAAAUUUCAUCUAAUUAUUAUAGACAUAUACUUAAACAUCAAUAAAGAACAACUUCUUAGAAAUAAUUUUAGGCUCGAAAUGUCAGAAUUCACUCCUUUGUUGAAUUACCAAAUGCGAAUAAACUCGUUAACACGCAUACGAGUAACACAACUAUGACCUCUAAAAAAUUUGUCUACUACGUACCUACUAAUAAUUAAUUUAUGGUAUCGCUAAACUAUCAUGCGUAAUUAUCAAGUGGAAACCGCAAUGUGCGUAAUCAGGAUAUGAAUUGUAACCGCAAAUUAGUCUAAAUAAAACGAAAAAGAGAAGGGGAAUUACAUAGAAAGCAAUAUAUUACACGUAUUUUCAUUGCCUCGUAUUUCAGUUUCCGAUUUCUUCCUCGACAAUAGCUUGGUGAAUAAUCUAGGAUCUAAAGGACCUAACGAGUUCUUAAAAAACAAUCCUAUCGAAAUUGUUCGUAUUUUGCGCAUACGUGAUGGCUCCAUUACGUUUCAUUAUCUUUGUUCUUCUUCUGUGCGCCUUCAUCGUUACAGGCGAAUCCAGGCCUCUUACUUUCCCAGAAAGAAGACGAUGUCCACCAGGAUACGGAUACAUUCGUAACAUUGGCUGCAGAAAAGUCUUAGACAUUUUUAAAAGUAGAGGCUAGAUAAGAAGUUCUUCCACAGUUCUUAAACACCCAAUUGGACUCGUUCGGACCAUCGACGAUCAAUGGCAUAUCUAUAUUCUUUAUCAAAUAUUGCAAAAUGUGUAGCCAGUUACACUUUCGCAACUGUACACGUUUAUGAUUCACAAAUCUAAAGUAAAUAACAAUUUAUUGACGCAUA